rnacentral:misc_RNA from 1 species
UAGCUGCGUUAACUGGUGUGAAUUGCAGGACACGCCGAGCACUAAGUUUUCGAACGCAUAUUGCGGCCACGGGCCUUCCCGUGGCCUCGUCUGUCUGAGGGUCGGUUUAUAACCACUCAUUGUAAGAGUUUGUUCGAGACGGCCAAGUAGUUGCUGGUCUCGUCAGACUUUGGUCGACGCGGUGUUUUCUGCUGAGAGUUGCAGCGGCACCGGUCCGGCGCUUCGUGUCGGACCGCACUACCGUUUAUCAUGCAACUGUUAGGCGAAUCGCUGCGUGUACAAAUUCGAUUUCGAUCGAACAUUUCUUGUCGACCUCAGAUCAGGCGAGAUUACCCGCUGAGUUUAA